GCGAGACUCCGUGGGGUAGGACCCUCUGAGCCAGGUGAGGGAUAUAAUCUCGUGGUGCGCCGUUUUUUAAGCCCGUCGGAAAGGCGCAGUAUUCGGGUGGGAGUGACCCGAUUUUCCCGAUUUUCCAGGUGCCGUCUGUCACCCCUUUCUUUGAUUAGGAAAGGGAACUCCCUGACCCCUUGCGCUUCCCGAGUGAGGCAAUGCCUCGCCUUGCUUCGGUUUGCGCAUGGUGCGCGCACCCACUGACCUGCGCCCACUGUCUGGCACUCCCUAGUGAGAUGAACCCGGUACCUCAGAUGGAAAUGCAGAAAUCACCCGUCUUCUGCGUCGCUCAGGCUGGGAGCUGUAGACCAGAGCUGUUCCUAUUCGGCCAACUUGGUUCCUCCCCCAACUCGGUGUACUAUUAUGGUAUGAAAUCCUCCUGAUGAACCUGUGAGUUUAUAUGCUGCCAAAGCACCACUGUCUACUAAGUUUUUGAGGAAACCAUAUUGCUAGAGAAACUGCAAGCCUGAGCAGCCUCCAAUUGUUGAAGACUUACAUCCAUCUUGGACCUCCAAACAUUCAUAAGCAGGAAGCAGGCCUCAAAAACUAUGGCCCCCAAAUGAGGGCUUGUUCCCCAACCCCCACUUUAGACAUGGAGAAGAAGAAUAAUGGACAAGGAGGCUCCUCCCAGAAGGAUCCAAGGACCCCUGAGGUUGGUGGACAAUGGACUUCCAGCACAGAUUGGAAUCAGAACACAAUCAAGGACACUGUCUCUCCAAUAGAAACUCUUCCUAUGUCUGCCCAGAGUAAUUCCUUAACUGUGAUGGACAAAGAGCUGUGGCAUCAUUGCUUUCCAUUUUUUGAAUGAAAGUUAUGGUGCAGUAAUCCUUUCCCUGCUCCAGCAGGUGAGGGGGUGGCAGAGAGGGGCCAAUAAUUUGUCAUUUUGUUCCUAGAUUGCCAGACCAAGAGGAGCUAUGUCUUGGUCUGCAAAAAAGAACCAGACAUUGCCACAAAUCCUGGGCUUGAGCUGAAUGCAGGGACUGGUGGGUUUCUCUGUUGUGUCCCUUGGAGAGGGAGUGAAGACUUCUUAUGCAGUGCCUCUCAACAUAUUCUAACCUUCCUGCCUGCUAGGCUUGCCAUGUGUUGUGUUCCAGACAGUAAAAUUUAAGCAGAAGUUCUGACUUUCUUACUGCUGGGCUAAGGUAGUUACGUACUAGUGUACUAGUGUGUCUCCCCACAAUGAACCUCCCACCUUCUUCCCACAAAGCCCAAGGGAUAAAAUUCAGGGCAAAUUAGAAUCCAAAAGAAGGAGCCACAAAGUGGAAGAAACCUGGAUGCCUGAGUCACUAUGUGGGGAAAACACCAACUAAAAAGCUUUAUGUGAUCCACAUUUGAUAUGAGUGAGAAAUAAAUUUUUGAUUGUUUUAGGCCAUUGAUAUUUUGAGAUUGCAACAACAGCUAGUAUAAGUUAGCCCAAUGCUUUAGGAAAACGUCUAUUUGUUUAUCUAAUCUAUGAAGAUCACUGACUCAUUACUCUGUUUUGUUUUCUUAAUGAACACAAUAUACCAUGUGGGUAAGAGAUAAGGGGAAGGGGUGGAGGGGGGAUUUGGAGCCAGAAGACAAGAAGUUCUCUCUUUGCCUAUUCAUGCGUAUUUAGUAAAUUAACAUUUCCAUGCUGGGUCAUGAUUAUUUUCCCUGACCCUGCCCAGAAGAAAGCAAUCUCCAACUGUAUACUCACUGGCAUUUUGCUUUCAGGGAUACCGUUUUGUAAUUGGGCUCGGUUCAGUCCUCAUGGUCUGAAGAGAAAAUGAUAUACCAUGCUUUAAUAAGAGAUGUUCUGUCUUUAGUGCAAGACCCAGCCCACUGUUUGUAAUAAACUCUGAAGUCUGUGCUUGACAAGUACUACUUACAUACAGAGCAUGUCGUGAAGUAUAACAGAGAAGAUGAAGCCUGGUAAAAUGACACAGUUUGCUUCUCUCUUCAACAAAGGAAACUCUGAUUCUGGUUUUAGAAGGGACCGGCACCUUCUCCUUUCCCUGCCAGAUUUUCCUUCUACCAAGACUGGGGUCCAACUGUGAGCCCUGUGCUUCAGGUCAGGAGAAAUUCAGUAUGUGAAAGCAUUUUGCAAUCCGUAAAGCUUAAAUAUGCAUGCACGUUGUGAGGCAAUAUGGUAUAAAGGAAAGCAGAGGUUUAGACGUCAGUCCCACUCAUUUUAAAUCCUGGGUCCACUGCCCUCUAGCUAGGUAAUUCUUGGAAUGUUUCUCAACUUCUCUGAUCUUCAGUUCCCUCCACUAUAAAAUAAGAUCUAUAAGACCUACUACUUAGGGUGGGAAUAAAAUCAAUAACAUGUGAAUACCUAGCUCAGUGUCUGGUACAUGUUGGUGCUCAAUAAAUGUGUAAUUCCUUCCUUUCCCUUUCCUACCCACAUGCUGUCCUCAGGGUAGAACACAUAGAUGAUUCUUUCUCGUGCCCUGCCUGCCUCAGUACAUUUCUGGAUGUACGGAUUGAGACUUCCUGACUUACGAUUGCAUAAACUCCACAGCAAGUAUCUUUGGCUGUGUUAGUGCAAAUCCCUUGAAUAAUGUCCCAGUUCUCCUCUACGGCAGACUCCGUUGGAUUAAGAAAGAAGGCAACAGAAUGGAAAGAGCAUUCAACUUGGUGUCAAGUCCUGGGUACAGAUCUCUUUUCCAGCCUGUGCACUGUUGGUUAAAUUAGAAAUCUCUCUAAACCCCAAUUUACUCAUAUGGAAAAUGUCAGUUAUAGCUUCCAUAAAAGAACUUCAUGACAUAAAAAAACCUAGCACAAAUAUAAGGUAUUUCAGUAUACUUCCAGUAUAUCUUUGCUUACUCUUAUUGUCCUAUGUGUUAAUCCUACUAAAAAGCCUUGUGUCCCAUGUGUCUUCUCCCACACCUACUGAGUUUGUAAGGCAAGGUAGGUGCUUUGGGCAGGCAUCCAUCCAUGGCAUCACUUCAUCUAUCUUUGCUCAUGUUCAAGAAUGGUUUGGUUUCUUUCAUGCGCGUCCGUGUGAAGAGACCACCAAACAGGCUUUGUGUGAGCAACAUGGCUGUUUAUUUCACCUGGGUGCAGGCGGGCUGAGUCCGAAAAGAGAGUCAGCGAAGGGAGAUGGGGCGGGGCCAUUUUAUAGGAUUUGGGAAGGUAAUGGAAAAUUACAGUCAAAGGGCGUUGUUCUCUGGU
rnacentral:lncRNA from 10 species